rnacentral:rRNA from 1 species
ACAGCAGUAGCCGCGGGAAUACGGAGGGUGCAAGCGUUAAUCGGAAUUACUGGGCGUAAAGCGCACGCAGGCGGUUUGUUAAGUCAGAUGUGAAAUCCCCGAGCUUAACUUGGGAACUGCAUUUGAAACUGGCAAGCUAGAGUCUUGUAGAGGGGGGUAGAAUUCCAGGUGUAGCGGUGAAAUGCGUAGAGAUCUGGAGGAAUACCGGUGGCGAAGGCGGCCCCCUGGACAAAGACUGACGCUCAGGUGCGAAAGCGUGGGGAGCAAACAGGAUUAGAUACCCCAGUAGUCCCUGUCUCUUAUAC